GACGAACGCUGGCGGCGUGCCUAAUACAUGCAAGUAGAACGCUGAAGAGAGGAGCUUGCUCUUCUUGGAUGAGUUGCGAACGGGUGAGUAACGCGUAGGUAACCUGCCUUGUAGCGGGGGAUAACUAUUGGAAACGAUAGCUAAUACCGCAUAACAAUGGAUGACACAUGUCAUUUAUUUGAAAGGGGCAAUUGCUCCACUACAAGAUGGACCCGCGUUGUAUUAGCUAGUAGGUGAGGUAAUGGCUCACCUAGGCGACGAUACAUAGCCGACCUGAGAGGGUGAUCGGCCACACUGGGACUGAGACACGGCCCAGACUCCUACGGGAGGCAGCAGUAGGGAAUCUUCGGCAAUGGGGGCAACCCUGACCGAGCAACGCCGCGUGAGUGAAGAAGGUUUUCGGAUCGUAAAGCUCUGUUGUAAGUCAAGAACGGGUGUGAGAGUGGAAAGUUCACACUGUGACGGUAGCUUACCAGAAAGGGACGGCUAACUACGUGCCAGCAGCCGCGGUAAUACGUAGGUCCCGAGCGUUGUCCGGAUUUAUUGGGCGUAAAGCGAGCGCAGGCGGUUUGAUAAGUCUGAAGUUAAAGGCUGUGGCUCAACCAUAGUUCGCUUUGGAAACUGUCAAACUUGAGUGCAGAAGGGGAGAGUGGAAUUCCAUGUGUAGCGGUGAAAUGCGUAGAUGUAUGGAGGAACACCGGUGGCGAAAGCGGCUCUCUGGUCUGUAACUGACGCUGAGGCUCGAAAGCGUGGGGAGCGAACAGGAUUAGAUACCCUGGUAGUCCACGCCGUAAACGAUGAGUGCUAGGUGUUGGAUCCUUUCCGGGAUUCAGUGCCGCAGCUAACGCAUUAAGCACUCCGCCUGGGGAGUACGACCGCAAGGUUGAAACUCAAAGGAAUUGACGGGGGCCCGCACAAGCGGUGGAGCAUGUGGUUUAAUUCGAAGCAACGCGAAGAACCUUACCAGGUCUUGACAUCCCGAUGCUAUUUCUAGAGAUAGAAAGUUACUUCGGUACAUCGGUGACAGGUGGUGCAUGGUUGUCGUCAGCUCGUGUCGUGAGAUGUUGGGUUAAGUCCCGCAACGAGCGCAACCCCUAUUGUUAGUUGCCAUCAUUCAGUUGGGCACCCUAGCGAGACUGCCGGUAAUAAACCGGAGGAAGGUGGGGAUGACGUCAAAUCAUCAUGCCCCUUAUGACCUGGGCUACACACGUGCUACAAUGGUUGGUACAACGAGUUGCGAGUCGGUGACGGCGAGCUAAUCUCUUAAAGCCAAUCUCAGUUCGGAUUGUAGGCUGCAACUCGCCUACAUGAAGUCGGAAUCGCUAGUAAUCGCGGAUCAGCACGCCGCGGUGAAUACGUUCCCGGGCCU
rnacentral:rRNA from 1 species